AUCAACUUUCGAUGGUAGGAUAGAGGCCUACCAUGGUGGUAACGGGUAACGGGGUGUUAGGGCACGACACCGGAGAGGGAGCCUGAGAAACGGCUACCACAUCCAAGGAUGGCAGCAGGCGCGCAAAUUACCCAAUCCCGACACGGGGAGGUAGUGACAAUAAAUAACAAUACGGGGUUCUUUAGGAUCUCGUAAUUGGAAUGAGUACAAUUUAAAUCUCUUAACGAGGAACAAUUGGAGGGCAAGUCUGGUGCCAGCAGCCGCGGUAAUUCCAGCUCCAAUAGCGUAUAUUAAAGUUGUUGCAGUUAAAAAGCUCGUAGUUGAAUUUCGGGGUCAGUAGGUUGGUCGUGCCACAGGUAUGAACUGGUCUCACUGAUUCCUCCUUCCUGAUGAACCGUAAUGCCAUUAAUUUGGUGUUGCGGGGAGACUGGACUGUUACUUUGAAAAAAUUAGAGUGUUUAAAGCAGGCUAACGCUUGAAUACAUUAGCAUGGAAUAAUGAAAUAGGACGUUCGGUCUUAUUUUGUUGGUUUCUAAGAUUGACGUAAUGAUUAAUAGGGAUAGUUGGGGGCAUUAGUAUUCAAUUGUCAGAGGUGAAAUUCUUGGAUUUAUUGAAGACUAACUACUGCCAAAGCAUUUGCCAAGGAUGUUUUCAUUAAUCAAGAACGAAAGUUAGGGGAUCGAAGACGAUCAGAUACCGUCGUAGUCUUAACCAUAAACUAUGCCGACUAGGGAUCGGAUGAUGUUAAUUUUUUAAUGACUCAUUCGGCGCCUUACGGGAAACCAAAGUGUUUGGGUUC
rnacentral:rRNA from 1 species